rnacentral:rRNA from 1 species
AAUAUUUCGCAAUGGUGGGAACUCUGACGCAGCGACGCCGCGUGAGGGAUGAAGGUCUUCGGAUCGAAAAUAUCUGCCCUGGGGGAAGAAGGUCUUCGGACAUGACGGUACCAAAGGAGGAAGCCCCGGCUACCUAUGUGGCAGCAGCCGCGAGAAUACGUAGGGGGCAAGCGUUGUCCGGAAUUAGUGGGCGUAAAGGGUGCGUAGGCGGCCUUUUAAGUCAGAUGUGAAAGCCCACGGCUUAACCGUGGGACUGCAUUUGAAACUGGAGGGCUUGAGUAUCGGAGAGGGUAGUGGAAUACCCAGUGUAGCGGUGGAAUGCGUAGAUAUUGGGAGGAACACCAGUGGCGAAGGCGACUACCUGGACGAAAACUGACGCUGAGGCACGAAAGCUAGGGGAGCAAAC